rnacentral:rRNA from 1 species
UGGUAUGCACUGGCUCGCUGACUCCUCCUUUCUUGUAGAACCGUAAUGCCAUUAAUUUGGUGUUGCGGGGAAACAGGACUGUUACUUUGAAAAAAUUAGAGUGUUUAAAGCAGGCCAACGCCUGAAUACAUUAGCAUGGAAUAAUGAAAUAGGACGUUCGAUCCUAUUUUGUUGGUUUCUAGGAUUGACGUAAUGAUUAAUAGGGAUAGUUGGGGGCAUUAGUAUUCAAUUGUCAGAGGUGAAAUUCUUGGAUUUAUUGAAGACUGACUACUGCGAAAGCAUUUGCCAAGGAUGUUUUCAUUAAUCAAGAACGAAAGUUAGGGGAUCGAAGACGAUCAGAUACCGUCGUAGUCUUAACCAUAAACUAUGCCGACUAGGGAUCGGAUGAUGUUAAUUUUUUAAUGACUCAUUCGGCGCCUUACG